AGGCAAAAUUUAAAAGCCAGUGAAUACUAAGUGUUGGCGAAGAUGAGGAGCAACAAAAAUCCAGGUCCAUUGCUAGCUGGAGUGUCAAUUGAUGCUGCCUUUUUGGGGAGCAGUUUUACAGACGAGGAAACAAACUCACAAAGGUUGAGAUACUUCCCUGCAGAAAUACCUGGAAGUGCUUAGCCCAGUACCUACCUUGUGGACACCAAGAAAUGAGGCCAAUCAAAUACCCUAUGAAAUGCAGGGCAUAGGUAUUUAUGAACUACCCUCUGUGUGCACAGCUGUGAGAUGUCUGUCUAAAGAAGAGACUGUCUUGCCCUAGCUGGAUGGUUCAGUUGGUUGGAGCAUCGUCCUGUAUACCAAAAAGGCUGCAGUUUCAGUCACUGGUCAGGAUACGUGUGGGAGGCAACCGAUCAAUGUUUCUCUCUCACAUCAAUGUUUUUCUCUUUCUUACUCCCUUCCUCUCUCU